AAUCAACGCUGGCGGCGUGCCUCAGACAUGCAAGUCGAACGCGAAAGUCCCCUUCGGGGGACAAGUAGAGUGGCGCACGGGUGAGUAACACGUAGGUAAUCUACCUUCGGAUGGGGAAUAACAACCGGAAACGGUUGCUAAUACCGCAUAAUGCAGCGGCACCUAAUGGUGACAGUUGUUAAAGCGGGGGAUCGAAAGACCUCGCGUCUGAAGAGGAGCCUGCGGCGGAUUAGCAGUUGGUAAGGUAAUGGCUUACCAAGGCGACGAUCCGUAGCCGGCCUGAGAGGGCGGUCGGCCACACUGACACUGACAUACGGGUCAGACUCCUACGGGAGGCAGCAGUCGGGAAUUUUGGGCAAUGGGCGAAAGCCUGACGCAGCGACGCCGCGUGA
rnacentral:rRNA from 1 species